GAGGAAUACCGAUGGCGAAGGCAGCCAUCUGGCCUAAUACUGACGCUGAGGUACGAAAGCAUGGGGAGCAAACAGGAUUAGAUACCCUGGUAGUCCAUGCCGUAAACGAUGUCUACUAGCCGUUGGGGCCUUUGAGGCUUUAGUGGCGCAGCUAACGCGAUAAGUAGACCGCCUGGGGAGUACGGUCGCAAGACUAAAACUCAAAUGAAUUGACGGGGGCCCGCACAAGCGGUGGAGCAUGUGGUUUAAUUCGAUGCAACGCGAAGAACCUUACCUGGCCUUGACAUACUAGAAACUUUCCAGAGAUGGAUUGGUGCCUUCGGGAAUCUAGAUACAGGUGCUGCAUGGCUGUCGUCAGCUCGUGUCGUGGGAUGUUGGGUUAAGUCCCGCAACGAGCGCAACCCUUUUCCUUACUUGCCAGCAUUUCGGAUGGGAACUUUAAGGAUACUGCCAGUGACAAACUGGAGGAAGGCGGGGACGACGUCAAGUCAUCAUGGCCCUUACGGCCAGGGCUACACACGUGCUACAAUGGUCGGUACAAAGGGUUGCUACACAGCGAUGUGAUGCUAAUCUCAAAAAGCCGAUCGUAGUCCGGAUUGGAGUCUGCAACUCGACUCCAUGAAGUCGGAAUCGCUAGUAAUCGCGGAUCAGAAUGCCGCGGUGAAUACGUUCCCGGGCCUUGUACACACCGCCCGUCACACCAUGGGAGUUUGUU
rnacentral:rRNA from 1 species